CCUACGGGUGGCAGCAGUGGGGAAUAUUGGACAGUGGGGGCAACCCUGAUCCAGCGACGCCGCGUGAGUGAAGAAGUAUUUCGGUACGUAAAGCUCUAUCAGCAGGGAAGAAAAUGAUGGUACCUGACUAAGAAUCCCCUGCUAACUACGUGCCAGACGCCGCGGUAAUACGUAGGGGGCGAACGUUAUCCGGAUUUACUGGGUGUAAAGGGGGCGUAGACGGUUCUGCAAGUCAGAAGUGAAAGCACUUGGGUUAACCGCGGAACGGCUUCUGAUACUGUGGAACUGGAGUGCUGGAGAGGAAAGCGGAAUUCCUAGUGGAGCGGUGAAAUGCGUAGAUAUUAGGAGGAAUACCAGUGGCGAAGGCGGCUUGCGGGACAGUAACUGACGCUGAGGCUCGAAAGCGUGGGGAGCAAACAGGAUUAGAUACCCGGGUAGUC
rnacentral:rRNA from 1 species